AAAAAGGGCAAAAUGGGAAGGGAAAAUAGGAAACCCUAUUCCCUCCAUUUUCGUCUCCCUCCGCGCCUCUACCAUUUUCGUCUCGUCGAGCAAAUCCACAAAACAACGACGCUGAACUGAAAUUUUCGUCUUCUCGUCGAGUAAAUCCUCAAAUGGUAGCGAAAAAUUCCUGCGUGGAGACGGCGAAAUCAAUUUCGAGUUUGCAGCUUCUCGUUGACGCUUCGCCUGUUAGUUUUGAAGUCGUGCUCAUGUAUCUCUGCCACUAGUCCGAAGAUUUGACGACGACGAAUUCUAGAAACUAGGUGAAAGGGAGCUCAGCAAUAACAUUUCGCUGCGCAGACACCGCUCUCUUAUCUGCCCAGUUCGAUGCCGGCAACAUUCCCAUUCGCACAAUAUUCAGCAGCUACACCAUUGUCAAAUUAUAUCCCUCCAACAACAUCAAAUGUGGUAUAUACUAAACAUGGUCAACCAUGGACAUACUACUAUCCACAUUUACCUGACCAGGGUUGAUCGGUGGGAAUAAUAAUUUGUCGUUCGGCUGACGAUUUCAUUUUAAAGAAGAAUAUUCUUUCAAUCUUCGCUUCUAAUUUUUGUUGCAGCAGUAGCAUUAAUGUUAUGAGGAGUAGGAACUUUGUUAAACUUAUGAUUAUAUUAUAUUUUUUGAGGUGAUAAUUAAUGCAAGAGUGUUGGUUAUUGAGGAUGGUUAUGUAUUCUUCAUAAUGUUGCAUCCAUGAAAGAUUAGACAACCUUGUUAUAAGUACUGUGGUAUUCAUGGCCAGCCUUGUUAUAAGUACUGUGGCUAAGAUAUUUAUGGCUCAUUUUUGUCAA